AGUUUGUGUGUGUUUCUCACUUUCUCUAUUCGCUGAAUUGCUGUUCAUAUUUGAGUUGUCAGUGUUUCUGAUAGAUCAUUAUUUCUCUCUCAGGUUGGGUUACUGUAAUCUCACAGAGAAAAGCUGUGCACUUCUGUCUUCAGCUCUCAGCUCAAACUCCUCAACUCUGAGAGAACUGAACCUGAGUGGGAACAAACUGCAGGAUUCAGGAGUGAAGCUGCUCUCUGCUGGACUGAAGAAUCCACACUGUAAACUGGAGACACUGGGUCUGUAUAAGUGCAGUAUUACAGAAGAAGGCUGUGCUGCUCUGGUUUCAGCUCUGAAAUCAAACCCCUCACACCUGAGAGAGCUGAAUCUGAACUCCAAUAAACCAGGAGAGUCAGAAGUGAAGCUGCUCUCUGAUCUACUGGAGGAUCCACGCUGUAAACUGGAGAAACUACACAUCUGGAAACACAGCUGACCUGGUCUGAGUCUCACACACACUGGGGGUUAUGAGGAGAGGAUGAAGUCUUAUAGAAUGAGGUCAAGCCCACAUUGGUGUUGAGAGCGUGUACAGGAGGAGGAGAAGAGCCUGGUGUUCUGAUAACAACAUGAGGUCGACACUCAAACCAGUGGAAAUGUUGAUAGACUUUAAUAAACUCCCUCUAGAAAUCAACACUGGAGUCACGAGAGUGGAGGAGAUCUUCAAGAUCAUGAAGACACCAUCUCACACACACACACACACAGAUAUGAGAGCACAGAGAGGCUCCUGAAGAGCAGCUGAAUGAGCUGAAACUCUGCUGCUUCCUGUGUUGUAUUAGUGUGAAGUUUCUAAGAUCAGGAUUUUGCUUUCAUGAUGUUUUUACUACAUUUAAACAGUCAGUGCUCACCAUGCUGGGACAUCAUGUCUGUCAGUUCCUUGUGUGGCUGUAUAGAAGCUUCUAAACACCUCCUUUAAAAAUGUACAUAAGAGUUUAAGACAGAUUGGGCUGUUAAGCAGCUUGAAUAGGUGAACUAAACAGUAACAGAUCAAUAUCAGAGAAAUGAAGAGCUUUUUAAAUAUAACAUCAUUGACGUACAUAGAAUGUAGUUUUUGUCUGUCAGAAACUGAAGACUUUCAGCCGUGAUAUUCAGUUUCAGAUGAUACUUCCUCACUACUGAAGGUCACUGAAAUGUAGGGCCGCCCUGUUUGCCCUGUGGACGUCUUAGCUUUGACUAAGAGUCUGAAAAUGGUGCCUCUAGACUUAAACUGGACUGGAUCAGGCAAAUAGACCAUAUUCUAUUUUUACAUAAGAUGAUAUUUUAUUAUAUAUCACUUCUGUUAUGCCAGAUUCCUGUGCUUAUCUUGAUUAUGAAUAAUAUUGAUGUCAUGUAGAGUUUUAUUCCAGUGUCAUUUGUGCCAGUAGAAAUAUUUAAUUACAGUAAAAUUUGAUGCACUUAUUAUUGGACUGUUCAACAUUAAUUCUUCCACAGUUCAUGUUUCAUUAAACACAGACCGAUUCUGACCA